rnacentral:rRNA from 1 species
GAUCAUGGCUCAGGACGAACGCUGGCGGCGUGCUUAACACAUGCAAGUCGAACGAAGCUUGAUUACGGAUUCUUCGGGUGAAGUAUGAUAUGACUGAGUGACGGACGGGUGAGUAACGCGUGAGUAACCUGCCCUUCAGAGGGGGAUAGCGUUUGGAAACGAACGGUAAUACCGCAUAAUGUAUUUUGACCGCAUGAUCGAAAUACCAAAGAUUUAUCGCUGAAGGAUGG